rnacentral:piRNA from 1 species
UGCAAUGAUGAUAAGCAUGGCCUGCCU